GACGAACGCUGGCGGCGUGCUUAACACAUGCAAGUCGAACGGAAAGGCCCUGCUUUUGUGGGGUGCUCGAGUGGCGAACGGGUGAGUAACACGUGAGUAACCUGCCCUUGACUUUGGGAUAACUUCAGGAAACUGGGGCUAAUACCGGAUAGGAGCUCCUGCUGCAUGGUGGGGGUUGGAAAGUUUCGGCGGUUGGGGAUGGACUCGCGGCUUUUCAGCUUGUUGGUGGGGUAGUGGCUUACCAAGGCUUUGACGGGCAGCCGGCCUGAGAGGGUGACCGGCCACAUUGGGACUGAGAUACGGCCCAGACUCCUACGGGAGGCAGCAGUGGGGAAUAUUGCACAAUGGGCGGAAGCCUGAUGCAGCAACGCCGCGUGCGGGAUGACGGCCUUCGGGUUGUAAACCGCUUUCGCCUGUGACGAAGCGUGAGUGACGGUAAUGGGUAAAGAAGCACCGGCUAACUACGU
rnacentral:rRNA from 1 species